rnacentral:ncRNA from 1 species
UAGAAGUUUUAUUCUUGCUUUCUUGUUCAGUUUUUGUUUGUUUUAUAUGUAAGUUUGUGCGUGAGUUUUCUUGUUUUUCUAGAUGGUAAAUAAGGUUUAGGUUUACUAAUAUGUAGGAUUAUUCUCAUUAGUUAUUAUUGGUUGGUCAAAUAUUUUUGUAUUUAGCAAUUCAUUUUAGUUUCGGUUAAAUUUUGUGCCAGCAGCCGCGGUUAUACCUUGGAGGCGUCUGAAUGUGUUCGGCAUUAAUGUAGUUGUAUGUUUAGUUUUGUCGGGCUUUAAAGAGUUUAGUUUUAGUAGGUGAAAUUUUUAUUUUGGUUUAUUGCUCUUGUUAUUUUGGUUUGGAGGCUAUUAAAUUCUUUUAGUAGACUAGGAUUAGAUACCCUAUUAUUUUAGAACGUUAAUUUUGUUUUGUCGGAGUAGUACUAGGUAUGUUCUUGAAACUUAAAGAAUUUGGCGGUAUCUUAUUCCAUCCAGAGGAAUCUGUCUCGUUAUCGAUAGUCCACGUUGGACCUUACUUAGUUGUUUUGGUUUGUAUACCGCCGUUUAUUGAUUAUCUUUUUAGAGGUCUUAUAAUUUUCUUGUUUCUUUAUUUUGGUUUAUUUCAGGUCAAGGUGCAGCUUGUUUCUAAGCGGAUGAUGGAUUACAUUGUUAUUGGUUUUUAUUGGAUUGUUAGGUUUUAAUAUCAGCAGGAAAUUGGAUUUGGUUGUAAUGUUUUGUAGAUUGUUUUCAUGAUAAUUGGUUCUGGGAUAUGUACACAUCGCCCGUCGCUCUCGUUUAUUUUAAUGAGAUAAGUCGUAACAAAGUGGUUGUACCGGAAGGUGCAGCUGGAUUGAU